UACAUAGGGUGCAAGCGUUGUCCGGAUUUAUUGGGCGUAAAGAGUUCGUAGGCGGCACAGUAAGUCAGAAGUUAAACCGCAGGGCUCAACCCUGCGUCGCUUUUGAUACUGCUGAGCUUGAGUAUGGCAGGGGAAGACGGAAUUCCACGUGUAGCGGUGAAAUGCGCAGAUAUGUGGAGGAACACCAACGGCGAAGGCGAGUCUCUGGACAGCAACUGACGCUGAGGCACGAAGGCCAGGGGAGCAAACGGG
rnacentral:rRNA from 1 species